CAAUUUAGUUUUUUUACAUCCAAUACCAAGUUCAGGAGUUUUUCUAUAAUGAUCCCAUGCCAAAUAUAUUCUUCCUCUACUAACACUGGAUAUGGGAAUUAAAGGUUGAGAUGAUUGAGUUGUUGAUAUAUUCUUCCUCUACUAACACUGGAUAUGGGAAUUAAAGGUUGAGAUGAUUGAGUUGUUGAAGGAUCACUAUUAGAAGUACUACCAUCAUGAAAUGACAUUUUAAAGAUUUAUAUUAAACCAAAUCAAACAUAAAUUAUCACAUUAUAUUUACCUAAUUAACAAUACAUUUGAAAUUAUCGCAUUAGAUAAAACAAGAUCAUAAUAUUAUAUUAGGCAAGCAUUACUGAUAUUCAAACUUUCUAGCAAUUUUCAUAGCAUCAGUUAAUAAGAUGUUGCAUGGAUAUCCUGCAUGAACUUGCCCCAUUUAUCAAAGUGACAGUGGACCACAGUAUGUUAAGAGUACAAUAACAACAAAGAUUAUCCUGCAUGUUUAACAAGUAAAUAUAUUUGAAAUUAUCACAUUAGAUAUAACAAGAUCAAAUGGCAAAUAUAAAAGUAACAUUAUACUUGGCAAGCAUUAUUGGUAUUCAUACUUUCUAGCCAUUUUCACUGCAUCAAUUAAUAAGAUGCUGUCCUGUCCUGUUCUGUCCCUCAUCCUAUCAUACUUUCUAGCAAAGGACUAAUUAAUGGACCAUGCAAAUCACUCCCAGAAUACUCUUGAUUGGGUUUUGAUUGAUACCACUGUAUUUAUAUAUACAGUCCAUAGAUUAUAAGGAGAGACCCAGAAUUUCCCCAGACCUUCGAGAGGAAUGUAUGUUAUGCCUUGUCAAGAUUUCUAUAGCAGGACCCAUGUAGAAGAUACCAAGAAAAAAGGAAAUAAAUUACAAGAUAUGGAAAAGCAAAAGGAGUCAUCCAAUAUCCUGAUGAAAAAUCCUGUGUGUACAUUAUUAUUUUGUUUCGAGACUUUUAGGUAGAUAAUAAAAUAAGUUUCUGUGUUUUGUUCAUGAAAAACAAGCCAACUUACCACCCAAACCAAACUGCCAAAGGUUUUACCAUAAUUUCCAGUUCUAACAUUAGAAUACAAAUUUAAGCCAAUGCCAGAUUUUUGCAUUUUCUAGGAAACAUAAAAAUACAGUCGCUGAUGCAAGAUAAUGCAGAGUUAAACCUAUCAACUAACAAGAAGUUACAUUUGGAUAAUCCGCGCCGUUAAUUA
rnacentral:lncRNA from 1 species